ACAGAACCAUGCAGGAUUAUUCCACUUUUACUGCUCAUAAUGCUUAGCUCUUUUUAAAAUUGUUAUGUUCAGUGCCUUGGGCUCCUGUAAAGGCAGUGGAAGGUGUUACAUAAAUAAAAAUUGAUUGAUUGAGAAAAAUUUGAAGUGUCAGAGAGACCAUUGUGUUUCACCCAAUCCCCCAUCAAAUAAAAAAAAAUUAAAAAUAAAUUAUAAAUAUAUUUGUUUUGAAACUGAUUUAGCCAUUACACCUUAAUUACAGAGAGGUAAUCAGUACCUCAAUCAUGUUAGUGACACACUGAUUUUUUUUUCACCCUUCAGGAACAGAUGACCAAGAUGGGAGCCCAUCAGAUGGCUGUGGAGCAAAGCAGUUGUCAGUGCAAGGAUUUUUUUCAGUGGGUUUCAGGCCAGGCACAUGUGCCACUAACAGACACAGAAAGAGAAUUUUACAAGAUAACUAAAUAUUGAUCACGACAGUACCACCCGGUAUGGACCACACUUAAUCACCUUACCUACAUGGCACGUUACUACAUACACUGACUUUGAAAGUCAGCUUACUCAGGCAGUCUGUGAUAGAUUUGAUUUUAGCAGACAUUAAGUGAAAACAAGAUGGCCACUGUUCUGGGUUCAGGUUACUGUAUAAUGGUUCAAAUUUAACUUUGAAUCCAAAAAGACAAAUGGUUUUGUUAAAUAAUGUAAUGUUUUGGAGCUAGAAAGCGACAUUGUUACAUGAAUCCAUAAAGUUAGGCUUAUUGCCAUUUCAAAUACAUGUUAUGUAUUUCUUUUGUAACAUUAAUAAAAGCACUGGAACUGAUCUCUUGAUUUUUUUAUUUCAAGUACACAUUAAUCUGACAAAGCAGCAUUAACAUAUUCUCUGCACAAUAGAUAAAGUUCCUUAGUGUUUGAACGCUCCCAAUUUUGUGCCAGUAGCAACUGCAGUUCAGCAUCUUACACUCUUAAAAAUGCUGGGUUAUUUUCCUAACCCAACUGCUGGGUUAAGGCUGAAUUUUUAGAGGUUGGGUCAAUUUAACACAUCAUUGGGUUAAAAAUUCUGACCCACCGUAUUGGGUUAAAAAAAGCGGGAAAUAGUAAGAUCCUCCCCCUUGUCUGUGAGCCUGCUUCACCAUUUUAAACCAGAGGAUGACACGGACAUUAAUGGAGCUUCACACCAGCAAGGAUUUAAAAUAAGGUAAGACGUUACUAAUAAAGAGUUUAAAGAUUAAUUUCAUUAAAACUGGACAUGCAGUUGAUAAAGUAACAGAUUUUUAGCCUGUCUGUUCAAGACAACCGACUCAUAGUUUAGAUUAGGUAGCUGGCUACUUAGCUUCCUAGCAUCGAUAAAUGUAUGUUUUAGAUAGAAUGUAACACAGAAUCCGCAGCACAAGUGCUCUGGAAAAUGUUGUGAUCUUCUGUCCACACUCCCUGACAUAGUGAGGCUCUACUGGGGGAUGUUAGGCCUUCUGGCUAUUUUAUACCAGUGGUAGCAUCCCCGCUAACAGCAGAGGGCCUUUAUGCUACAGUCAUGUGAAUAAUGUUACACAUUUCAAUUUUACAGACAAAUGGGUGGAUGUGGCUUUGUUGUUGCUGCCAGUGCUUCUCCAAACUGCACCAUACAAGUUGAAGGAGAGUGUUCCGACCAAGCAGAGGUUCAGCAGGCCUUCACUGACUUCCAACCUACUGGAACCAGUCUGGUGAAGAACCUGAAUGGGACCACAGCGGAGCAUCACAUGUCCUUAUGGCUGCAGAAGACCAUCGAUGUUCCCAAGAAUUUUUUAUCAUCAAUGGAACUGGAAUACCCAUCUGUUCUUAGACAUUUUUUUGUGUUGAUGUCAACUAUCCAAAACCACGUGCACAGAUUUGGGGGUUUAUUCAGACAUGUAUCUUUGCAUCAUGAAUCAGGUGCUGUGAAGCUUUGAGGGCUCAUGUUGCUGUGAUGUAAGGUUGAUGUUCUGCUGACUAAAGCAUUAAGGUGAGUGUUGGAAGCUGAUGGACAUUUACUUCACUACAGUUCUUCCAUUAAAGUUGUUUAACAUGUUUAAGACAUUACAAGUUACGAAAUGUUAAAUAUUUGUCAUUAAAAAAUGCAAUUAGUAGUCAUUUACAAAACAAGUUUGAAUAUGAACGCAUGUUUAGAGAAAGUAGAAAAUGCGACUAUUUGUUAUCUAUGUAUUUUGAAAAUUAACAUAAUUUUUGUGAUAAAGAUUUGACUGAGACAUGUUCAUUUUGUUUUAUUGAAUUAUUUAAUUUGUAUUUUAUUUAUUGUAUUGUAUUUACUAUAGAAUUGGGUCAUUUUAAUCCAAGCUUUAGUAAUUUAAUAACCCAGAAGUUGGGUUUUAUUUUUAACCCAGUUUUGGGUAGUCCUAACUAUACAGUUGGGUCAUUUUAAACCAUUGAUUGGGUAGAAAGCAUAACCCAAUAAGCUGGGUCAAAAUCAUAACCCAACCCUACUUGGUUAAAAUAACCCAGCACUGGGUCGGUCCCUUUUUGACCCAGCACCUGGGUUACAAAACAACCCAAAUUGGGUUAUUUUUUACCCAGCAGUUUUAAGUGUGUAGGUGUGUUCUUGCUGUGUCUUUCUAAAUCCAUGCUUUCGUUCUUUUUUAAACACAGAAACAGUUUUGUUUACCUGUUAGUAGCUACAGUUUCGCCGACGGCUGCCGGCUUCUUCAGGCUGACGCUGUUGGUGGCGCGUCACUUCCUUCUCCGUUUAUCUGCGGGCAGCAGAGACAACUGCCCGCAGAUAAACGGAGAAGGAAGUGACGCGCCACCAACAGCGUCAGCCUGAAGAAGCCGGCAGCCGUCGGCGAAACUGUAGCUACUAACAGGUAAACAAAACUGUUUCUGUGUUUAAAAAAGAACAAAAGCAUGGAUGCAGUUCAGCAUGCUGCUCUUCAGUGAGGGGACUGUCGAACUCCGGGACCACAGCAGCACCGUCCACAUCUGGGCUGUACUCUGCAGCAACAUCCCAGUCGAUGUCUGGCUCUUGGAAAUCCUGACAUUACAACAAGAGAACAAUGAUGAUGUUUCUAUAUUGAGCUGCAAUUUGUCAACAAAUAAGCAAAAUUUCCUAAAUUUUAAUAGAAACCAAAUUAUCACAUUGUUGUGCAGGAUUACUAUAUGUCAAAAUUAGAUUUAAAAAAAAUUACAAAUAGCAGGGACAAGAAUAACAAAAAUUCAAAAUGGUUUUGAUUUAGAACUUUUACUAUUUUGCAGGGGUGUAAUUGUCAUUUACUUGCAUCACCGUAAUUAAGUACAGUUUGCAAUUUAAAAUGUUUAACCUUUAGUAGGUUUUAGGGCUGGUUGAUGAAUAAAAGCAUAUUAAUUUAAAAAAAUCUAAUCGAUCGAUAGAUAAUUAUUUCAAAAUUUUAAAACCGUAGAAGAGAAUAUAUAUUGAAUUGCAUCCCUGGCCAUUUUAUGCUAUUUCUUUAAGCGACAGUCUGUAGUUUUCUGCCACUAGGGGGCAGUACGUACCUAAAUCAUAACAAACAAGCUACAUUUUUGUGUUCCGUGAUGAGCCUACCAAUGAAUAGCCGUAAAGGCCACAAAAAAAGCACUGGGAGUGUUGCAGCACAAUUUUUUUACGGGCUAACUACCUUGUCAGAUCGUUCAACCUCCUGCAAAAUGACAACAGGCACAUCGGACUCCCUUUCAUCAGUCAGCAGUAGAGAAAUGCCAUAUUUCACAUUCAGUAUCUUUUAAAGCGGCGUUCAGUAUGUUCAUAGAGCUCCUCAUUUAGCUUCAUGUUUGUGUUUCAAUCUUUAUUGAAAUAAUUUUUUAAACUUCCUGUAGAAAGCAAGGAGAUCGUGACGUAACAGUUUUUUUUAUUUUUAUAUAACUUUAUUAACAAACAAAGCUUACAGGCAGAUGUAACUGCUGGUUGUUGGAACUGUGAGCUGCACAAAAACAGGCAUAGUUGCUCCAAUGACUGGAUUCAAAUUGGGUUUUGGAGUUAGAAACCUACUCAAUAUGGCGGUGAAGCAGUUACUCUCCAGCAGCCAAUGAUGUCUAUGGUACGGCUUAUGUACAGAGAAACAUGCUGUCUAAAGCCUGGUUCAUGCUUCUCCGUCAGCUCCGCAAGGGACAGACACGCACGGAUUGACGGAAGUGUUUUGCUCUCAUACUUCUCCGUCUCCUGGAGAGUGUUGCAAAGCAAUUCCUCGGCAGGACAACAGAGGGCGUAGCGCUGUUCUGUGGUAUCCUGUCAUGUAUUGGUCCAAGAUCGUGUGUUUAUAUUGUAUUUUUUGUGUAUAUAAGAGACUUUUAACACGGACAUAUUUGUCUCUCAUUCUCCUCCACCUCUUCAUGCGCUCGCCACCUCUAAACCCACGUUUCCUGUCAUUUCCGUCCACAAAUAAAACGCUUGCUGCGCAUCUUCUCUCUCCUCCAGUCACGGGGGAACUAAAAGUUCAUGUUUUUAGAGUUUUUUCGCGAGGUAUUCUUCAAGCUGCUCCGUGUCUGCUGCUUGUUAUUCUCGGCUCUCUUUAUGUUUUUGAGGGUGCAAUGGCGGCGCUGUAAACAACAGCGGCAUCCUGACCAAUCACAAGCUUGCGUUGUCUGUCUCGACUGACGGCUGUUUAGAAAAGAGAGCUUUACUCCGUCCGUCCUUGCGGAGCUCUCCGGCAGGCACGCAAGGACGUCGCGUGUCUCCGCACUGACGCAGACGGAGAAGCAUGAAUCAGGCUUAAGGCUACGUUCACAUGGCAGGUCUUAAAAAUCCAUUCAGAAUUUUUGAGUAAAUUUAAUGUUUUGUGUGGUUGUUCACAUUAUAACUGAAAUACAACAGCAAACACUCUCCUGCGUUAACGUUAAAAGUACAGAAGAGAACAAGAACUCACACACUAGGAGCUCUGUGGAGUCUGAACUGAGAGGUGGAGCUGUGAUCCCAAGAGCUUCACUGACAGACUUCAUCCACAAUUCCAGGAUCACACCUGUCAAGUCUCCUGUUUUGAGCUGGAAACUAUUUUUAAAACUAAACUAUUUUACUCCUUAUUCUCACAGUCGUCCCAUGUUAGUAUUUUCCCUCACUUAAGCCGCUUUCACAUCUGGGUCGGCAUGGAUGCGUUCGGAACCAAAUGUUUUGUUCGCAUAUGGCUCACAUGUGUGUAUUUCGUUCUAAGGAGACUUUUUUUUCCAGACUACUUCCCUCGGAGGUCCGACUGGUGCCGAGCAGACACUAUGGACUGAUUGGCAGCUGAAACUCACACCUACCGCCUCCUAUUGGGGAGUUGGAUCAAACACCGGGGGGUUUCCGCAUAUGCGAUUACUUUUCAUCCUGGUUGCUGUUUAGCCCACAUGAAGCACUGAGCUGCUGUCACCCGCUCCGCAGCAGAGGAGGACAGCAGUGUGUGUGUGUGUAGCAGCGGUUAUAAGGACACGUCUGCAGCGGAGGACACUACAGCGCUGAAGUAGGAAGGAUUAGAGGAGAGCAGAUUAUUAGAGAAGCGCAGUGUGUGUUGGUGCAGUGGUUUGAUGAGGAAUUAUUGUUUAGCAUAGGCGGACACCGCAGACUUCUUCCGCGCGUCUUUACCGCCGCCCACAUGCUCGGGGAUUUCCGCAUUCCUGAGAAGCCCUGGGAAUCACAUGUGAACAAGAAACCACCCGUUCUAUUCCGAACUCACGCGGCUGAGCCCCGACCAUAGCAAAGCAUCAAAAAACGGAACCAGAAAAACUUUUAGCGCUGAACUCACCUUCAAAAUUAAAUGUUAACCCUAACGUUUACAGUUGAAGCCAUUACAACAUGUUUGAGGUAAUUUGGCCACUCCGGCUCUCUGUAGUGGUUUCCCAAUUACACGAGGGAGGGAGGGGUAAACAGAACUCCGUUGGUAACCACGGUGAACAGGCUUGAUGAAACAUGAACGAAUAUCCCCAAAUAAUUAAAAACCAUGAAGCCAAAUGCAAAGUUUAGGGCAGAACAUUGACCCAGAGGUUUUCUGAUUGAGCAGAUUUGUGAGAAUACAUGAAAUGACCGCUUACAGACGGAGCAAGCUAGUUGCUAGCUUAUGUGGCUUGACUAGUUAUAACAAUACAAAGUCAUCUUGUUUCUCGUUUAAAAUUAUAUUUAUAAUUUUAAAAUAUCUAUAUAUUGCCCAGCCCUAGCUGUAGCCUAUACUACACUGCUUACAUCAUUUCAGAAUUUAAUUUCACUAUGUAAAAAAAAAAUACAGUCAAUUGCAGAAAGCCUCUUUCUAAGAUGAAUAAUAAAGCAUCAUUGGAAUAAUUUAAUUUCAAACCACUGAAUAGACCAAUGCAGAUGUCAAAUAUUUACAUUUCUACACUUAACUUACCUUGACAUUUCUUGAUGAACUGUAGACCGAGGGAUAGUCUGUUAAGGUGUUGUCGCUGGUGUUGUGCGCUGUGGCACAGUUGGUGUUUGUUGCGGGCCCUCUGCUUGUAGAUGAGCAUUCAGUAAAUCCAUAAGGUUUCUCGUAACUUCUCGGAUGGAACCAGUCUAAAGAAAUACAACAAAAAACACAGAAAAAGUUGUAUUUGGUUAUACAGCAAAUGGGAAACACCUACAAAUUGAAAAAAAUUGUAAUUGGCUUGCACAUUUAUUGAAAUUUAUCAAGUCCAAGGCCUACAAAGCACUUUACACAACAACCACACCCUUUUCACAUGCUUACGGUGGUGAUAAGCCAGAUAGUAGCUACAGCUGCCCUGGGGCACACUGACAGAGGCGGGCCUGCUGAACACUGGCACCACCGGUCCCUCCGACCACCAACAGCAGGCAAAGUUGGUUAAGUGUCUUGCCCAAGGACACAACAGCAGCACUCUCUGGUUGGAGCUGGGAUGGAACCUGCUGUUUAUCUGGCCCUGACCCACGCCUGUUCCCUGACCAUGCACCAACCUGCUUCCCUGGAUUACCAUGAGAAUUUCAGGACUAAACUUUUAAUAAAGCUUUUACACAUUUUCUUAUUUUCUGGUGUCAUUACAGGUCCUCCACCUCAGCCAUUACAUUCAUUUUCCUCUACAUCUUCUGUGGUUUAACAUGCAACAGUGAAUUGUGCUGCAUCAUGGUACCACAGACUGUGUAAUACAACAUUUCGCGCAUUUCACAGAAAACAAAUGUUAGUUCGCUUACACCAGAAAUACAACCUUACUCAUUGCUGAGACUUAGAAACAGAAACUGUUUUUGUUUUGUUACUGCUUAUGUAACCCCAGACUCAGUAUUAGUAAGUUAGGCUCAUUAUGUUUAAAGACCAGCGGCUAGGUUUGACAGGAUUACAAAAAGAAAUAAUGCAAGUGCAAAAUGAAAUGGAAGGAGGCAGGAAUUGAGCAAAAAUAGAAAUUGUUAUUUUGUUGGGGAAAUUACUACUGGAUUACACUCACUUAACAUAGCAUUAAUAUUUUCAGAAACCUACCAACAGAUUGAAAGCUAGCUGACGCGCCAGUCAGGGCAGGUGUUGUGUCAAAAUGUGUUUCCCUAUCAAAAACGGUUUUCUCCUACGGCUUUGGUCAAAAUUUUCCAUCGUUCAAUUAUAACGAGUUCCACUUUUUAAUAACAUUCUCUUACUUUGAUGACCCAUCUUGUUCAUUACAGCGCGAGAAAAACAUUGGGAUACAUUUAUGUCGAUGGAUGAAACACAUUUUGAUAGUUAGCAGUUAGAUGAGGAAACAAUGUUCAUGGAGUAAACGCUAACGAAUAACUACUGUAAUGUCCAAAGAGCUAACUAUUAAAAACAAAGGUGGGAAUACUAAACAAAAAACAUCUACACUAGGUCCAGAGCUAGCAUUGGGGACGAGUGAUAUGUUAGGGUAAAACUCAAAUCUGCUGAGGCCAUUUUAUGAAAGUUGUAGCUAUAGUGAAUAACCUAAUCCACCUAGCUAUGUGCCCCUGUUGCAAUAUUAAAUGCGAGGAGUCGUAAAAAGUAGCAUAACAAAACAAUUUUAUGGAAUAAACUGCAGCUAGUAGCCUUGAAAAAUAACUUACUUGAGCGUCUUGUUGGUUCUGGUCCAUUUUGCUGGUGCAGGUGAAACUCUCGCUCCAGAUCAGAGCGGGUAUUAGCCAGGCUGUUAGUGCGCAGAUGCGGCAGCCACACAGGAAAGUCCACAGAGCGCAAAACGAGCGCACCCCAAAGAGGUUUGUUCCCGCCCAGUCCCACAAGUCUUUCUAUUGGCUGAGCGGUUGCUAGGAGAUUGUACUUCUAAGUUUUGAGCGAGAGCAGACAAGAUCCGUGAGAGCAGGGGACAGACUUGUGGGAGGAGUUUUGAUCCGUGUAGAGAAAAAGUUGUCACAUGAGAAGACAAUACCAGUGUAAGAAGGUUAAAUCUGAGCGCAAAAACAAAGAUUUGAAGGAGAACAGAGUGAAUUUGAAAGAGAGCAGACAUUUUGAGCGCAAGCA